rnacentral:rRNA from 1 species
UUUGAUGGCGACCGGCGCACGGGUGAGUAACACGUAUCCAACCUGCCGAUGACUCGGGGAUAGCCUUUCGAAAGAAAGAUUAAUACCCGAUGGCAUAGUUCUUCCGCAUGGUGGAACUAUUAAAGAAUUUCGGUCAUCGAUGGGGAUGCGUUCCAUUAGGUUGUUGGCGGGUAACGGCCCACCAAGCCUUCGAUGGAUAGGGGUUCUGAGAGGAAGGUCCCCCACAUUGGAACUGAGACACGGACCAAACUCCUACGGGAGGCAGCAUG